GGUGGAGAGCAGCACAGCAUUAGACCAACAGAUGUCCUAAUAAUGUGCAGUCUGCUGACACUGCAUGCCUGUAAACAGCAGAGAUGAAGGAGCUAUGGAUUACGGCUGUCUUUGCUACAGUGUCUUUAUCACAGGGGAAUCUCACCACAUCCUCUGCCAUUCCAACCACCAUUGACAUAACUACCCCAACUACUACUGCUCCUAUAACCCCUGACCCUCCAACUACUACUGCCCCUAUAACCCUAAAUAUUAUUGGUCAACAAACUACUGGUUACCCUACCUCUAUCCCGAUCACCAGUACCAGUCUCCCCACCACCUCUACCACCACCUCCACCAUCCCCUCCAACACCACCUCUACCACCACAUCCCCUCCCCUGGUCUGUAUCAACGGUGGUGAGCAGCUGAGUGGAGUCUGUAUCUGUCCUGAUGAGUGGACCGGAGAGACCUGUUCAGAAGGGUAUUUCUGCAAUUCCACCAUGAAGGAUGGAUUCUCCUUCCCAAGAACAGUGGUUGGCUGGUCUGCUUAUUCUGAAAAUUAUAACAAUGGUUUACCAGAAGCCUUAGCAGAAUGUUCAGAUGACACUGGAUCUCCAGUGUUUGGUCGUAUUUACAAGCUAGAGCGGGAAUUAACCCUCAGUGACAUUCUAGGAAAUAUCUCCAGCAGUCCAGGUGAUUUACUAAAGUUAGCCUUCAGUACUCAGAUCCUGACCUCCCAACCAGAGCAGCUGUCAGCUGACAACAUCACCACAGCAGCUCAGAUAGCUAACACACUGCUUCAGUCUGCAAAUAUCACAG
rnacentral:lncRNA from 1 species